rnacentral:rRNA from 1 species
GCCGGAUUUCACACAGGUGUUGCAUGGCUGUCGUCAGCUCGUGUCGUGAGAUGUUGGGUUAAGUCCCGCAACGAGCGCAACCCUCAUCCUUAGUUACCAUCAGGUAAUGCUGGGGACUUUAAGGAAACUGCCAGUGAUAAACUGGAGGAAGGUGGGGAUGAUGUCAAGUCAUCAUGGCCUUUAUGGAGUGGGCUACACACGUGCUACAAUGGUGGCUACAAUGGGCUGCAAAGUCGCGAGGCUAAGCUAAUCCCUUAAAAGCCAUCUCAGUUCGGAUUGUACUCUGCAACUCGAGUGCAUGAAGUUGGAAUCGCUAGUAAUCGUGGAUCAGCACGCCACGGUGAAUACGUUCUCGGGUCUUGUACACACUGCC